GGAACUGACAAAGAGAAGAAGAGAGAGCUGAACCAAUCGCCCAUGUUGCUACUGAAACCCAUCUCCACCUUGUUUUUCCUUUUCAACUUGGUCGUACCAACUCCAGCCCAGCUAAUCAGCAGCCCAGGCUCUCAUCUUUCACAUGUCUUCUCCUUGCACAGAGAGAGAGCACGAGACCAGCGUGUAUCUCCAUGAAGUCAUUGAGCCAACCACUCCACUUUUCCUCUCAAAAAUUGUCCACCAGCACCAGAUCCAAACCCUAAGGCCUCUCCCUUCCCUCGCGCCGCCACUAGCUGCCCACUUCGUUCUUCCCCUCUCCCAUGAAGAAGAGAAAGAAAAUUCAGUUAAGAGUUCAGAGAAACACCACCGCAGCAUGCUGUCGCACCACCGUGUCCGGUCGCCCCACGCCAAUCCGACGCCAUCAGGAGAUCCGCCUCGUCGCCAUGGUCAUCCUCGUGAAAGGAAUCGAACCGGGAGGGCCUCGGUUGAGCACAAGGUCGCCGAUUCCGUAUGCCGGCCGCCGCAGUUCAUCGAUGUUUCUGACGCCGUACGACCUCCUCCGGUGCAUCCGAGCAUGGCUUCGUGUUCCUGGUGUCCGUCUCCGGCGACGCUCCGGUGUUCCCCGCUCCAAGCACCAUCACCAUCAGGUUCAGCGUAUCGAGGCACAUCCCCUGCGACCACUCCCUCCUCGUGGUUCACUGCCAAGUGCCAACCAUCGAAUCCGCUCGCGACCAGCAUCUUUGUCCGUGUUGGCGACCAGCACUCCAAGGGUACAGCUUUGUUCAGUUUCGUCAGUUGUGGUACAUCGUCCACUGUUUCAAGUGGCUGCACGUCUCUUUCUGUUUAGCAUCUGCGCUGUAGCCCAUCUGAUCCUAUGCUUGGAGACAGUUCAGUGUACACGUGAGCCAAUCUAAAUCAGCUUCAGCAAAGCAACCCAGUGGCUAUAGCCUUCAUCUCUUUCACGGUGGUAUCAUGAUCAAGACCAGAGUGUGCUGCUUCUGUUCGUCGGUGCAGGCCAGCGUUUUGCUUCUUUCCGGAUAGGAUCACGAAGUGGUGCGGUGAGAUACGACAAGUUCUCCGGAUGUCCCUCGGCAAUCUUUAACAGGCA